rnacentral:rRNA from 1 species
UACGUAGGGUCCGAGCGUUGUCCGGAAUUAUUGGGCGUAAAGAGCUCGUAGGCGGUUUGUCGCGUCUGCUGUGAAAUCCCGAGGCUCAACCUCGGGCCUGCAGUGGGUACGGGCAGACUGGAGUGCGGUAGGGGAGAAUGGAAUUCCUGGUGUAGCGGUGGAAUGCGCAGAUAUCAGGAGGAACACCGGUGGCGAAGGCGGAUCUCUGGGCCUUACCUGACGCUCAGGUGCGAAAGCUAGGGGAGCGAACAGG